rnacentral:lncRNA from 1 species
UUGAGAAGGGGAGCAAGACUCGAUUUGCCUUUGUCUUUGUAGCUAAAGAAGUUAAGGCAAUCUCUGAAGUUGAUCAAGAGGACCCACCACAAAUAUAAUAGCUCCUCUUAGACUUUGAGGAUGUGAUCCUAGAGAACCUACCAAAAAGACUUCUUUCCUUAAGGAACAUAUAGCAUGUCAUUGAUUUUGUCCUAUGAGUACUAUUAUCCAACCUUCCACACUAUUGGAAAAAGCCUCUUCAAACAUGAAGAACUAAAGCAAUAGGUGGAAGGAUGGUUGAAGAAAGCAUUCAUCUCAGAGAGCCUACACAUAUGGAGUCCUACACUAACUCAUCUCCAAAAUAGAUAGAUCUUGGAAGGUCUACAUAGGCAGUGGAGAAAUCAA